UACGUAGGGUGCAAGCGUUGUCCGGAAUUAUUGGGCGUAAAGAGCUCGUAGGCGGUUUGUCGCGUCUGCUGUGAAAACCCGAGGCUCAACCUCGGGCCUGCAGUUGGGACGGGCAGACUAGAGUGCGGUAGGGGAGAUUGGAAUUCCUGGUGUAGCGGUGAAAUGCGCAGAUAUCAGGAGGAACACCGAUGGCGAAGGCAGGUCUCUGGGCCGAUACUGACGCUGAGGAGCGAAAGCGUGGGGAGCGAACAGG
rnacentral:rRNA from 1 species